rnacentral:rRNA from 1 species
ACCCCCUCCUCACCAGCUAGCCCACCCCAAAACACAACAACCCCCAUUAAUAACCCCAAACACCAUAGCAACCCACAAAUAAAACAUUUUUCCCCCUCAGUAUGGGAGACAGAAAAGGGCCCCGGAGCCAUAGAAAAAGUACCGCAAGGGAAAGCUGAAAGAGAACUGAAAGAACCCAGUCAAGGUUAAAAAAGCAGAGCUUACCCCUCGUACCUUUUGCAUCAUGACUUAGCAAGUACUAUGCAAGCAAAAUGCUUUUUAGUUUGUAACCCCGAAACUAGACGAGCUACUCCGAGGCAGCCUAAUAAUAGGGCAAACCCGUCUCUGUGGCAAAAGAGUGGGAAGACCUUUGAGUAGUGGUGACAGACCUACCGAGCCUAGUGAUAGCUGGUUGCCUGACAAAUGAAUAGGAGUUCAGCCCUUUACUAGUCUCAAUUCCCCUCCCGGACUUAGUCACUUAGUGAUGAAGAGACAGCCAAAGGAGUUAUUCAAGAGGGGAACAGCUCUCUUGAAAAAAGAUACAACUUUAACACGAAGGCUAAAGAUCAAAAGACACAAACCAAAGUACCCAGGUGGGCCUAAGAGCAGCCAUCCUCGAGAAAAGCGUUAAAGCUCAAGUACUAAAUUCAUUCAAUACCGACAAUGUAUCUAAAGCCCCGCCCCCAAUCAGGCCUCUCCAUGCCCCCAUGGAGGAGAUAAUGCUAACAUGAGUAAUAAGGGAGCCCAGCCUCCCUCCUUAUCACCUGUGUACAUCAGAACGAACCCACACUGACAAUUACACGCCCCCCUCCCCGAGGGAAUUGUAACAAAACCCCCGAAGCAAGAAAAGCCUUCAUUAUUAAGCGUUAAUCCUACACAGGGGUGACCAGGGAAAGAUAAAAAGAAAGAGAAGGAACUCGGCAAACUUUAGCCUCGCCUGUUUACCAAAAACAUCGCCUCUUGCCCUCCAAGUAUAAGAGGUCCCGCCUGCCCAGUGACAACAGUUCAACGGCCGCGGUAUUUUUAACCGUGCGAAGGUAGCGCAAUCACUUGUUUCCUAAAUAGAGACCUGUAUGAAUGGCAUAACGAGGGCUAGACUGUCUCCUCUUUCCUAUCGAUGAAAUUGAUCUGCCCGUGCAGAAGCGGGCAUAACAACAUAAGACGAGAAGACCCUGUGGAGCUUUAGACGCGAAGGCAGCCCACGUCAAGAAAAUUGAUUAACCAGUGCUGAACACAGGGAUCCUGUCUUCCUGUCUUCGGUUGGGGCGACCAAGGGGAACGAAAAACCCCCAUGUGGAAAGGACCGGACCGCAACCACUUGCACCCCCUAAGAUAAGGCCCACCGGCCUAACAAGCAGAAUAUCUGUCCAAUAGAGACCCGGCUUACGCCGAGUAACGGACCAAGUUACCCCAGGGAUAACAGCGCAAUCCCCUCCUAGAGCCCAUAUCGACAAGGGGGUUUACGACCUCGAUGUUGGAUCAGGACUUCCUGGCGGCGCAACCGCUGUUAAGGGUUCGUUUGUUCAACGAUUAAAGUCCUACGUGAUCUGAGUUCAGACCGGAGCAAUCCAGGUCGGUUUCUAUCUAUGACUCCACCCUUUUCUAGUACGAAAGGACCGAAAAGGGGGGGCCUCUGCCCAAGGCAAGCCCCACCCCUAACCCAUGUUCCCCACUUAAAGGGGAAGCGGGGGGACCACUGGCCCCAAGAAACAGGGCUAA